GGGUAGUUUCGAGAGCCAAGUGAUAAUUUGACAAGGCUUCUCCACCACAAGCAUGGAAAAACACAUGAAAACCCAACGUAUCAACUCUCUGGCCUUGGUAUCUAUAUUGUCAAGACAUUUUGGGGCUAACACAUUACAUUGGAGGUUGUGUCAGUAUUUCCAUGGGUAAUUUCAAGAGCCUAGUGAUAGUUUGACAAGGCUUCUCCACCACAAACAUGAAAAAAAACACUCAUGGAAACCCAACGUAUCUACUCUCUAUGGCCUUGGUAUCUAUAUUCUCAAGACAUUUUGGGGCUAACACAUUACAUUGGAAGUUGUGUCAGUAUUUCCAUGGGUAGUUUCGAGAGCCUAGUGAUAAUUUGACAAAGCUUCUCCACCACAAGCAUGGAAAAACACAUGAAAACCUGACGUAUCAACUCUCUGGCCUUGGGAUCUACAUUCUCAGACAUUUCGGAGCUUACACACCACACUGGAUGUUGUGUCAGUAUUUCCAUGGGUAGUUUCAAGAGCCUAGUAAUAGUUUGACAAGGCUUCUGCACCACAAUCAUGAAAAAACACAUAUGAAAACCCAAUGUAUCUACUCUCUGGCCUUGGGAUCUACAUUCUCAGACAUUUCGGAGCUUACACACCACACUGGAUGUUGUGUCAGUAUUUCCAUGGGUAGUUUCAAGAGCCUAGUAAUAGUUUGACAAGGCUUCUGCACCACAAACAUGAAAAAACACACAUGAAAAGCCAACUUAUCUACUUUCUGGCCUUGGGAAAUAGGUGCUGUGAGAGUCGAAAGCAUCUGAGAAUAUGGACAUGAAAACCUCGGACAUCAGAAAUAAACCACAAAAAGUCUUGAAAAUGGAUCUUGUAUGGAAACUGCUACAGCUUUAAAGGAAAUGUGUGUGUGAGAACUAGACACUCACUUCAAAACACGAUAUUGAGAAACGUAGACAACAAAAAUAAAUAAUAAUGUGUAUCUGAGAACCAUAUCCAUUGCCAUAUGUGUGAUAUUGGCAAACACGGACAUAAAAAAAAAAAAUAAUAAUAAUAAUAAUGUGCAUCUGAGAACUAUAUCCGUUUCCACACGUGUGAUAUUGGCAAACAUGGACAUAAAAAAUAUAAUAAUAAUGUGAAUCUGAGAACCACAUCCGUUUCUAUACGUGUGAUAUUGACAAACACGGACAUAAAAAAAUAUUAUAAUAAUGUGCGUCAGAGAACUAUGUCCGUUUCCAUACAUGUGAUAUUGACAAACAUGAAAAAAAAUAAAUAAAUAAAUAAAUAAAUAAUAAUAAUAAUAAUAAUAAUAAUAAUAAUAAUAAUAAUAAUAAUAAUAAUAAUAACAGUGAUCAUGCGAAACAAAAAUACGUGGAUUGACAACACAUACCCCUUCUCUUAAUCAAACCAAACUGUCUUCACGGUAAUCAUACACUCGUAGCAGAACGUAGCAAAAAGAAAAAAAAAGUCAAACUGGUGCAUAGACUUAACGAAUCACUACUACGGGAGGUCAACGAUCGACACUAAUAUACACGGCACAAAAUAAUUUACUCCUUGGAAUGAUACGUUAAACUGGUCCCAAAAACAUGACAAUAGACAGACGGAAUGUGAUCGACCGAUAUCGUAAAAGUGUGUGUUGAGCUCGGAGUCGGGAGGCCACUCUGAGAGACUUAAGAAUCACAUACUAAUCGUUUUCUUCCUCUUCCUGUACUUCCUUACCCUAUCUAUGCUUGCCUGUUUAUAUUUGUUGCAGGACUGAGGCAAACUUAUAGAUAGAUAUACUGGCGAGUGUGUGUUGAGUCAGGAGUUAGGAAGCCGUACUGAGAGACUUUAAAAUCAUAUAUAACCGUUUUUCUUUCUUCAUCCAACAUCAUAAGGGAAAAUACAGAUGCUAAAUGAAGAAGAAGAAGAAGAAGAAGAUGAUGA